GAUGAACGCUGGCGGCGUGCCUAAUACAUGCAAGUCGAGCGAACAGACGAAGAGCUUGCUCCUCUGACGUUAGCGGCGGACGGGUGAGUAACACGUGGAUAACCUACCUAGAAGACUGGGAUAACUUCGGGAAACCUGAGCUAAUACCGGAUAAUAUAGUGAACCUCAUGGUUCAAUAGUGAAAGACCGUUUUGCUGUCACUUAUAGAUGUAUCCGCGCCGCAUUAGUUAGUUGGUAAGGUAACGGCCUACCAAGGCAACGAUGCGUAGCCGACCUGAGAGGGUGAUCAGCCACACUGGAACUGAGACACGGUCCAGACUCCUACGGGAGGCAGCAGUGGGGAAUAUUGGGCAAUGGGCGAAAGCCUGAUGGAGCCACGCCGCGUGAGUGAAGAAGGUCUUCGGAUCUUAAAACACUUUUAUUGGGGAGGAACAAAAGUAAAAUAAACUCUUCCCGUUUUGACGGUACCAACUGAAAAAGCACCGGCUAACUACGUG
rnacentral:rRNA from 1 species